rnacentral:rRNA from 1 species
GUCCACGCCCUAAACCAUGUCAACUGGGUGUUGGGGAAGCGAUUCCCUAGUACCGCAGCUAACGCGUGAAGUUGACCGCCUGGGGAGUACGGCCGCAAGGUUAAAACUCAAAGGAAUUGACGGGGACCCGCACAAGCGGUGGAUGAUGUGGAUUAAUUCGAUGCAACGCGAACAACCUUACCUACCCUUGACAUGUGCCGGAGCCUGCUGAGAGGCGGGUGUGCCCGAAAGGGAACGGCAACACAGGUGCUGCAUGGCUGUCGU